UUGCAUUUCUCCAGGCUGAGACAUUCUGGACCUGGGAGUCCAUGAACCCACAUGGGAUGACUGACCAUGGCCACCUGGACCAAGGUUGGGAGGUAGAAAUGGGGAGAUGGCUGAGGAAGCCAGAAACAGGAAAUCUGGAGGGGGGCCGCAGCUGAACACCCCAAUCUUCCGGACCUGUUGGAGAAAGAAGUGAAGGCCAGCUCAGUAGUCACUGUCCAACUCAGUGUCUAACUCCAUGUUCAUGUGAAAGACCAGCAGGAGUCCUUGGUGAGGACUCAUUCCAUGAUCCUGUGAAGGUUUACUCCAUACUGUGCAUGGUGAGGGCUGGCUCAGGGUUUAUAAAUCUAGCCGAGUUUUGGAAGA